UUACGAAUGGCGCCGGCGGAAUAGAAUUUUAGCAAGUUAACGUUCAAUUUUAUUUUCAGAUCUAUGGUUAAGCUGUUGUACCUGGGAAUCCCAGUGAUAGCAACGAAUCCCCUCAUGUAAUGUUACUGUAGUAACCUUCAUGCAAACCGACAAGAGCCCAUCCGGGAAGUGAUGUUUUAAGGA